UACGUAGGGUGCGAGCGUUGUCCGGAAUUACUGGGCGUAAAGAGCUCGUAGGUGGUUUGUCGCGUUGUUCGUGAAAACUCACAACUCAAUUGUGGGCGUGCGGGCGAUACGGGCAGACUGGAGUACUGCAGGGGAGACUGGAAUUCCUGGUGUAGCGGUGAAAUGCGCAGAUAUCAGGAGGAACACCGGUGGCGAAGGCGGAUCUCGUGGGCCUUACCUGACGCUCAGGCGCGAAAGCUAGGGGAGCGAACAGG
rnacentral:rRNA from 1 species